rnacentral:rRNA from 1 species
GACGAACGCUGGCGGCGUGCUUAACACAUGCAAGUCGAACGCUGAAGCUUGGUGCUUGCACUGGGUGGAUGAGUGGCGAACGGGUGAGUAAUACGUGAGUAACCUGCCCUUGACUCUGGGAUAAGCCUGGGAAACUGGGUCUAAUACUGGAUACGACAUGUCACCGCAUGGUGGUGUGUGGAAAGGGUUUUACUGGUUUUGGAUGGGCUCACGGCCUAUCAGCUUGUUGGUGGGGUAAUGGCUCACCAAGGCGACGACGGGUAGCCGGCCUGAGAGGGUGACCGGCCACACUGGGACUGAGACACGGCCCAGACUCCUACGGGAGGCAGCAGUGGGGAAUAUUGCACAAUGGGCGAAAGCCUGAUGCAGCAACGCCGCGUGAGGGAUGACGGCCUUCGGGUUGUAAACCUCUUUCAGCACGGAAGAAGCGAAAGUGACGGUACGUGCAGAAGAAGCGCCGGCUAACUACGUG